ensembl:lncRNA
UAUCCCUGAAGGAAAAUUCUGUUUGUUUAUCUGACUUAAUUUUUUAUUCCUGAAAAAUAGGAUUGUCAGCAGACUGACUAACAAACAUUGUCAGAAAAAAAAGAACACAAAAGAAGAUAUUUUAAACAUUGUGGGUAACCAAAUGGAUUACGGUAGCCAUUGACCCACAUCGUACAGAAAAAGUGCUACGGAAGUCAAUGGCUACCAGCAACUGUUCUGUUACCAACAUUCUCAAAAUUAUCUCAUACCAUUAACAAUUAAGGUUUGGAAUGACGAGAGGGUAAAUAACAGAAUUUUUCAUUUUUGGGUGAAUUAUCCCUUUAAGGUGGUUCCAUUUGCUUGACUAUUAAUACAGAACUGUAUCUAUUUAUAAAAUAAAGUAUUCAAUUAUUUAUAUACUAAAAUAGCAAUACAUUGUCAGCAAGCAAAAAAAUGCUAUAAUGUAUACCCCCCCACACACAUCCCCACUGCAAACCAUCUCUAACCACAACACGCACAAUUCACAACUGUUCCUUGCCAACCCUAAUCUUACUUUGAUUAUGAGAAAUUUCCACUGAAGAACAUUUCCCACCAUCUCCACCCCUCAUGAUGUCAUCUAGACUUUAGUUUCAGAACCUUAUAAAAGAGCACAUUCUUCCUGAUCCUAAAGAAAACGACUGCUGAGUUGUUAUUGGUUUACAAGACUACACAAGAACAGUGAGUACACAUUUUAAAGCUUUUACAAAACAUUCACAAGAUGAUUUUCAAAAGAUGUUCUGCUAAUACGUUCCCCUUCACUUUAAUGUUAACUCCAUUGUUUUAUAGAUGGGAGCAGCCAAAUCAUUGGAAAGUAGUGGUGAGGUGAGAAUCAAACACUCUCUGAUUAAGAAUGAGGAGGAGUUUGUAGUCAAAAGAAAAAAAGCUGUUCUACAAUGCCUGAAGAAUCUUAAAAUAAGCUGCAGUCGGGUAAAACAUAUUGUACUUCAUAUAUCUGCCUAUAUAUUUCAUCUUUCUACAAAUUAUGUUAUUACUGAUGAUCAUCAAACGUUUGCAAAAUCAAACUACAUUUCAGGAUAAAGUGCCACACAUAGCAUUACUGGGUUCUGGAGGAGGAC